rnacentral:rRNA from 1 species
GAUGAACGCUGGCGGCGUGCCUAAUACAUGCAAGUCGAGCGAACAGAUGAGGAGCUUGCUCCUCUGACGUUAGCGGCGGACGGGUGAGUAACACGUGGAUAACCUACCUAUAAGACUGGGAUAACUUCGGGAAACCGGAGCUAAUACCGGAUAAUAUAUUGAACCGCAUGGUUCAAUAGUGAAAGACGGUUUUGCUGUCACUUAUAGAUGGAUCCGCGCCGCAUUAGCUAGUUGGUAAGGUAACGGCUUACCAAGGCAACGAUGCGUAGCCGACCUGAGAGGGUGAUCGGCCACACUGGAACUGAGACACGGUCCAGACUCCUACGGGAGGCAGCAGUAGGGAAUCUUCCGCAAUGGGCGAAAGCCUGACGGAGCAACGCCGCGUGAGUGAUGAAGGUCUUCGGAUCGUAAAACUCUGUUAUUAGGGAAGAACAAAUGUGUAAGGAACUAUGCACGGCUUGACGGUACCUAAUCAGAAAGCCACGGCUAACUACGUG